CCCUACGGGACGCAGCAGUCGAGAAUUUUUCUCAAUGGGGGAAACCCUGAAGGAGCGACGCCGCGUGGAGGAUGAAGGUCUUCGGAUUGUAAACUCCUGUCAUUGGGGAACAAGGUGCAUACGUUAACUGCGUGUGCAUUGAUAGUACCCGAAGAGGAAGAGACGGCUAACUCUGUGCCAGCAGCCGCGGUAAUACAGAGGUCUCAAGCGUUGUUCGGAUUCAUUGGGCGUAAAGGGUGCGUAGGCGGCGCGGUAAGUCGGGUGUGAAAUCUUGGAGCUUAACUCCGAAACUGCAUUCGAUACUGCCGUGCUUGAGGACUGGAGAGGAGACUGGAAUUUACGGUGUAGCGGUGAAAUGCGUAGAUAUCGUAAGGAAGACCAGUGGCGAAGGCGGGUCUCUGGACAGUUCCUGACGCUGAGGCACGAAGGCCAGGGGAGCAAACGGGAUUAGAUACCCCCGUAGUCCA
rnacentral:rRNA from 1 species